rnacentral:rRNA from 1 species
AUCAUUACCGAGUGAGGGCCCUUGGGUCCAACCUCCCACCCGUGUUUAUUUUACCUUGUUGCUUCGGCGGGCCCGCCUUAACUGGCCGCCGGGGGGCUUACGCCCCCGGGCCCGCGCCCGCCGAAGACACCCUCGAACUCUGUCUGAAGAUUGUAGUCUGAGUGAAAAUAUAAAUUAUUUAAAACUUUCAACAACGGAUCUCUUGGUUCCGGCAUCGAUGAAGAACGCAGCGAAAUGCGAUACGUAAUGUGAAUUGCAAAUUCAGUGAAUCAUCGAGUCUUUGAACGCACAUUGCGCCCCCUGGUAUUCCGGGGGGCAUGCCUGUCCGAGCGUCAUUGCUGCCCUCAAGCACGGCUUGUGUGUUGGGCCCCGUCCUCCGAUCCCGGGGGACGGGCCCGAAAGGCAGCGGCGGCACCGCGUCCGGUCCUCGAGCGUAUGGGGCUUUGUCACCCGCUCUGUAGGCCCGGCCGGCGCUUGCCGAUCAACCCGAAUUUUUAUCCAGGUUGACCUCGGAUCAGGUAGGGAUACCCGCUGAACUUAAGCAUAUCAAUAAGCGGAGGA